AUUGAACGCUGGCGGCAGGCCUAACACAUGCAAGUCGAACGAGUGGCGGACGGGUGUGUUAUGUCUGGGACACCGCCUGAUGGAGGGGGAUCACUACUGGAAACGGUCGCUAAUCCCGCAUACCAUGAGAUGUGCCCAGGUGGGAGUAGCUUGUGGGGGGGGUAACGGCUCACCAAGGCGACGAUCCCUAGCUGGGCUGAGAGGAUGACCAGCCACACUGGAACUGAGACACGGUCCAGACUCCUACGGGAGGCAGCAGUGGGGAAUAUUGCACAAUGGGCGCAAGCCUGAUGCAGCCAUGCCGCGUGUAUGAAGAAGGCCUUCGGGUUGUAAAGUACUUUCAGCGGGGAGGCGUUACCCGCAGAAGAAGCACCGGCUAACUCCGUGCCAGCCGCCGCGGUAAUAC
rnacentral:rRNA from 1 species